UACGGGGGGGAGCAAGCGUUGUUCGGAUUUACUGGGCGUAAAGGGCGCGUAGGCGGCGUGACAAGUCACUUGUGAAAUCUCCGGGCUUAACUCGGAACGGUCAAGUGAUACUGUCGUGCUAGAGUACAGAAGGGGCAACUGGAAUUCUCGGUGUAGCGGUGAAAUGCGUAGAUAUCGAGAGGAACACCUGCGGCGAAGGCGGGUUGCUGGGCUGAUACUGACGUGAGGCGCGAAAGCUAGGGGAGCGAACGGG
rnacentral:rRNA from 1 species